ensembl:lncRNA
ACUUGUUAGCUGAUUAUCCCUCUCAGAUUGUAAUCUUAAUGUAUUUCAGGUAACUAUUUCAUGAAGUUGGUUGUAAUGAAGCCCAAUGGUGAAAAGAGUAGUUGAUCCUAAACUGUCGGUAGAGUAGAUGUGUAACCUCUUUGUUAAUUAAGUGACUUAAUAAUGUCUUAUUGAUGACCUGUCUUUUUGGCAGACCACAGAUCUAACUACUUAUAGAAGGUCUGCUGUUCUUCGUGGUCUUCCCCUGUACUUGAGAGAGCCAGCUUCAAUUUCAAAGACUAUUAAGGAUACUGAGGCACUGGGGCCACACACAAAGGCCAUGAAAAUGGGGAUCCUGGAAGUGACUGACAGUUCUACCAACUCAGGACCAUAUCCCACAGUGGUCAAUGUGGCUGUAGUACUGGAGGAGGAAGUUUUACUGAAUUUCAUUUUGUAAAGCAGAUAUUUGUUUUUCCAGUACAGCUAUUGACUAAGAGUGAUAUGUCAUGCUUUCUUGAACUCUCAGAUCUUGUUUCGGCACUGGUUGAAUACUUGUGUAAUAUUUUACUUGAGCCUAACAGGCAAGUUCAUAUGCACUUAAAUAAAUACAUAAAAUGUUCUUUAUCA